rnacentral:rRNA from 1 species
GGCGGCGUGCUUAACACAUGCAAGUCGAGCGGUAAGNCCCUUCGGGGUACACGAGCGGCGAACGGGUGAGUAACACGUGGGUGAUCUGCCUCGCACUCUGGGAUAAGCCUGGGAAACUGGGUCUAAUACCGGAUAUGACCACGGAUCGCAUGGUUUGUGGUGGAAAGAUUUAUCGGUGCGAGAUGNGCCCGCGGCCUAUCAGCUUGUUGGUGGGGUAAUGGCCUACCAAGGCGACGACGGGUAGCCGACCUGAGAGGGUGACCGGCCACACUGGGACUGAGACACGGCCCAGACUCCUACGGGAGGCAGCAGUGGGGAAUAUUGCACAAUGGGCGAAAGCCUGAUGCAGCGACGCCGCGUCAGGGAUGACGGCCUUCGGGUUGUAAACCUCUUUCGACAGGGACGAAGCGCAAGUGACGGUACCUGUAGAAGAAGCACCGGCCAACUACGUGCCAGCAGCCGCGGUAAUACGUAGGGUGCGAGCGUUGUCCGGAAUUACUGGGCGUAAAGAGCUUGUAGGCGGUUCGUCGCGUCGAUUGUGAAAACUUGCAGCUCAACUGCAAGCUUGCAGUCGAUACGGGCGGACUAGAGUACUUCAGGGGAGACUGGAAUUCCUGGUGUAGCGGUGAAAUGCGCAGAUAUCAGGAGGAACACCGGUGGCGAAGGCGGGUCUCUGGGAAGUAACUGACGCUGAGAAGCGAAAGCGUGGGUAGCGAACAGGAUUAGAUACCCUGGUAGUCCACGNCGUAAACGGUGGGUACUAGGUGUGGGUUUCCUUCCACGGGAUCCGUGCCGUAGCUAACGCAUUAAGUANCCCGCCUGGGGAGUACGGCCGC